rnacentral:rRNA from 1 species
CCUACGGGUGGCAGCAGUCGAGAAUCAUUCACAAUGGGGGAAACCCUGAUGCUGCGACGCCGCGUGGGGGAAUGAAGGUCUUCGGAUUGUAAACCCCUUUCAUGUGGGAGCAAAUUAAAAAGAUAGUACCACAAGAGGAAGAGACGGCUAACUCUGUGCCAGCAGCCGCGGUAAUACAGAGGUCUCAAGCGUUGUUCGGAAUCACUGGGCGUAAAGGGUGCGUAGGCGGUUUCGUAAGUCGGGUGUGAAAGGCGCGGGCUUAACCCGCGGACGGCACAUGAUACUGCGAGACUAGAGUAAUGGAGGGGGAACCGGAAUUCUCGGUGUAGCAGUGAAAUGCGUAGAUAUCGAGAGGAACACUCGUGGCGAAGGCGGGUUCCUGGACAGUAACUGACGCUGAGGCACGAAGGCGAGGGGAGCGAAAGGGAUUAGAUACCCUUGUAGUC